rnacentral:tRNA from 1 species
CGUGGCCUAGUGGUUGGGGCGCCAGGCUCGUAGCCUAGUGGUGGAAGGUUCGAGCCCUGGCUG